rnacentral:tRNA from 1 species
CCUCUCGUAGCUUAGUAGUCAGAGCAUUGGUAAGUAAAGCCAAAUGUUUCGGGUUCGAUUCCCGGCGAGGGUG